CCAGACUCCUACGGGAGGCAGCAGUGGGGAAUAUUGGGCAAUGGGCGCAAGCCUGACCCAGCAACGCCGCGUGAAGGAGGAAGGCUUUCGGGUUGUAAACUUCUUUUCUCAGGGACGAAGAAAGUGACGGUACCUGAGGAAUAAGCCACGGCUAACUACGUGCCAGCAGCCGCGGUAAUACGUAGGUGGCAAGCGUUAUCCGGAUUUAUUGGGUGUAAAGGGCGUGUAGGCGGGAGCGCAAGUCAGAUGUGAAAACUCAGGGCUCAACCCUGAGCCUGCAUUUGAAACUGUCGUUCUUGAGUACUGGAGAGGUUGACGGAAUUCCUAGUGUAGCGGUGAAAUGCGUAGAUAUUAGGAGGAACACCAGUGGCGAAGGCGGUCAACUGGACAGCAACUGACGCUGAGGCGCGAAAGCGUGGGGAGUAAACAGGAUUAGAUACCCGUGUA
rnacentral:rRNA from 1 species